rfam:Xenopus tropicalis strain Nigerian Chr03_contig_3517, whole genome shotgun sequence.
GGUGCUGUGGCUUAGUUGGUUAAAGUGCCUGUCUAGUAAACAGGAGACCCUGAGUUCAACUUUUAGCAGUGCCU